rnacentral:snRNA from 1 species
ACAUGUGAGAGUGAUCUAGCUGCGGUGUCUGUCCCCUCACUUAUUGCCAGGGUUGAUGUGGCCGACCUGGCUGACUAAGUGGGUGUUCCCUUUCUCCUGCUCCACUCCAUGUGCAUCCCUUCUGAUACUGCACACUUGGUCUAAGAGGAUGUCCACCCCCAGUAGAAGAGGACCCAUUCCUCAGUGUAGGGUAUACAAGUAGCUGUGCUACUGCAGUGCCCAAUAUGAGUCUGUAUCAGGAGGCUGAUGGGUCUGUGAUGGAAGCCUGAAAAGCCUAUGCUG